rnacentral:rRNA from 1 species
GACGAACGCUGGCGGCGUGCUUAACACAUGCAAGUCGAACGGUAAGGCCCUUCGGGGUACACGAGUGGCGAACGGGUGAGUAACACGUGGGUGAUCUGCCCUGCACUUCGGGAUAAGCCUGGGAAACUGGGUCUAAUACCGGAUAGGACUCCGGACUGCAUGGUCUGGGGUGGAAAGCUUUUGCGGUGUGGGAUGGGCCCGCGGCCUAUCAGCUUGUUGGUGGGGUGAUGGCCUACCAAGGCGACGACGGGUAGCCGGCCUGAGAGGGUGACCGGCAACACUGGGACUGAGAUACGGCCCAGACUCCUACGGGAGGCAGCAGUGGGGAAUAUUGCACAAUGGGCGCAAGCCUGAUGCAGCGACGCCGCGUGAGGGAUGACGGCCUUCGGGUUGUAAACCUCUUUCAGCACAGACGAAGCGCAAGUGACGGUAUGUGCAGAAGAAGGACCGGCCAACUACGUGCCAGCAGCAGCCGCAG